CACCGCGGUUAUACGAGAGGCCCAAGUUGAUAAACAUCGGCGUAAAGAGUGGUUAAUAUAAAAUAAACUAAGGCUGAACAUCUUCAAGACUGUUAUAAGUUCCCGAAGACGGGAAACUCCCCAACGAAAGUGGCCUUAACUUAAAAUGAACCCACGAAAGCUAGGACA
rnacentral:rRNA from 1 species